GACGAACGCUGGCGGCGUGCCUAAUACAUGCAAGUAGAACGCACAGUUUAUACCGUAGCUUGCUACACCAUAGACUGUGAGUUGCGAACGGGUGAGUAACGCGUCGGUAACCUGCCUGGUAGCGGGGGCUAACUACGGGAAACGAUAGCUAAUACCGCAUCAUAUUAAUUAUUGCAUGAUAUUUGAUUGAAAGAUGCAACUGCAUCACUACCAGAUGGACCUGCGUUGUAUUAGCUAGUCGGUGAGGUAACGGCUCACCUAGGUGACGGUACAUAGCCGGCCUGGGAAGGUGGACGGGCACACUGGGACUGGGACACGGCUCAGGCUCCUUCGGGAGGCAGCAGGAGGGAAUCUUCGGAAAUGGGCGAAAGGCUGGACGAGCAACGCCGCGUGGGUGAAGAAGGGUUUCGGGGCGUAAAGCUCUGUUGUGAGGGAAGAACGGGUGCGAGGGUGGAAAGUUCACACUGUGACGGUAUCUUACCAGAAAGGGACGGCUAACUACGUG
rnacentral:rRNA from 1 species